rnacentral:rRNA from 1 species
GUGUCAGCAGCCGCGGUAACACGUAGGAUCCGAGCGUUAUCCGAAUUUACUGGGUGUAAAGCGUGUGCAGGCGGUUUGGUAAGUUGGAUGUGAAAGCUCCUGGCUCAACUGGGAGAGGCCGUUCAAAACUACCAGACUAGAGGACAGUAGAGGAAGGUGGAAUUCCCGGUGUAGUAGUGAAAUGCGUAGAUAUCGGGAGGAACACCAGUGGCGAAGGCGACCUUCUGGACUGUUUCUGACGCUCAGACACGAAAGCUAGGGUAGCGAAUGGGAUUAGAAACCCUCGUAGUCC